UAAGGUCACGGCGAGACGAGCCGUUUAUCAUUACGAUAGGUGUCAAGUGGAAGUGCAGCGAUGUAUGCAGCUGAGGCAUCCUAACAGACCGAGAGAUUUGAA
rnacentral:rRNA from 2 species